UAUGGUACAUUUACAUGCAUAUAACUCGGCAAGGAGUGAAUUUACAAAAAAAUGCAUAGAACACUUUUUUAAAGGAAAUUUAAUUUCCCAUAAUUUUUAUACCUAUAAUUUUUUCUAUAAAUUCAUUUGUUUUUGAGUUAUUUUACAAAAAAGUAAUUUAUGGUACGUUUACAUGCAUGUAACUCGGCAAGGAGUGAACUUACAAAAAAAUGCAUAGAACACUUUUUUAAAGGAAAUUUAAUUUCCUAUAAUUUUUAUACUUAUAAUUUUUUCUCUAAAUUCAUUUGUUUUUGAGUUAUUUUACAAAAAAUAAUUUAUGGUACAUUUACAUGCAUGUAACUCGGCAAGGAGUGAUUUUACAAAAAAAUGCAUAGAACACUUUUUUAAAGGAAAUUUAAUUUCCUAUAAUUUUUGUACUAAUAAUUUUUUCUUUAAAUCCAUUUGUUUUUAAGUUAUUUAGGAAAAACUCCUUUUUGGCACAUUCACACGCGUGUACCUCGCCAAGGAGUAACUUUACCAAAAUAUUCAUAAAGCACUUUUUUAAAGAGAAUUUAAUUUCCUAUAAUUUUUAUGAAAACUUUUUUUUGAUUAAACCCAUACGUACCGAAAUAUUAGCAUUUAAAAUAAAAAAAUGCCCCUCAUGUAUUAUUGCUUCCAUUUUCCUAUAGGGCUAAUGUCAAUGUAUUUUUAUUAAUUAUAAGCUUAAUAAAAAAUUGUUAUGCCUAAUAA